AGUGAGCUUCAUCAAAUUGCAGGGUUUCCUUCCUUCCCAAUGUCCGGUUACUUCGUCUCUGAGGAGCCCGACACUCGUGCACAGUUCCUCUCAGUCCCUGUUAUACUUUCAUGUGAAGGGUAGAGAUGGAUCUCAUGCCUCCGCAGUGACCCAAGCCACAGCAGAACUCUGAAUCCUUAACCCACUGAGCCACAGGGGACCUCCAGUACAAAGUUUAAAAUGACUAACAUCAUGGAAAUUGGUUUUAAGUCGAUGUGCUGUGAAACUUACAGGUAAUAUAAGAACUUGAAUGAUGAUUCAGUUUUGCUGAAUAAAUUUGCAGUUUUCAUGUUCCUAAAACAUUUCAUUAGAGUAAUGUUAGGGUUUUUUAAAUAAUUAAACUAGUAGAAGUUUAGGAAGUUCAAAUCAAUUAUUCUCUCAGUAAGGAAACGAACUUGAUUAAAACACACAAUUGUGUUAUAUUUUACAGUGAAAAAAUACUUAGUUUAGGUUUUUUGUUUUGUUUUUUAGCCAAACAUUAAAAGAAUAUCAUUUGCCUAAGAUCUGGUUUAGUUAUUUGAAAAUGGAUUUCUUCUAUACUAGAAAUUUCUGUAAGAAGGAUUUUUUUUUUAAUCUUGCACAUUUAAAAGUUUAUUUUUUGAAUUUUAGGACUAGAUUUAUGUGAGUGUGUAGUCAUCUUGAUAAGUGUUGGGAAGGAAGAAAUUUUUCUCUUUCCUUCUAGGUUCUUCUGGCUGGCCUAAGAAUUAAAUUAACGUGAAUAGAGAAAAUUAAACAAAAAACUUAACAUGUACAUGGGAGAGACUCAGGAAAAUCAAUGUCCCCAAAUGUUUGAAGGAAAAUCAAUGUCCCCAAAUGUUUGAAGCCUUCACACUAAAUACAUUCUCAGAGUUCCUGCUGUGGCUCAGCAGGUUUAGAACCUGACAUAGUGUCAGUGAGGAUUCAGGUUCAAUCCCUGGCCUCACUUAGUGGGUUAAAGAUCCAGUGUUGCUGCAAGCUGUGGUAUAGGUCAUGCAGAGGUUGCAGGUGCAGCUUGGAUCUGGUGUGGCCGUGGCUGUGGCCUGCAGCUGCAGCUCUGAUUCAACCCCUAGCCCAGGAACUUCCAUAUGCCGCAGGUGCAGCUGUAACAAGAAAAUAAAUAAUAAAUACCAUUCUGAGCUAGAGACAAAAGAGGAUAUUGGGGUUGGUAGUCUGUUCUGGGAGGUCACCAGGAAGAGCACAGUGAACAAGGGUAAGAUCGUUAAGCAGAUUUAAAUCAAUGCUUUCUCUGUUGAUAACUGUCAUUAAUUACAAAAGGGUAGGUAAUUCCGGAGUUCCCGUCACUGAGCAGCGGAAACAAAUCCAACUAGGAACCAUGAGGUUUCAGGUUCAAUCCCUGGCCUCCCUCAGUGGGUUAAGGAUCCAGCGUUG
rnacentral:lncRNA from 1 species